rnacentral:rRNA from 1 species
UUGAACGCUGGCGGCAGGCCUAACACCUGCAAGUCGCACGGUAACAGGAAGCAGCUUGCUGCUUCGCUGACGAGUGGCGGACGGGUGAGUAAUGUCUGGGAAGCUGCCUGAUGGAGGGGGAUAACUACUGGAAACGGUAGCUAAUACCGCAUAAUGUCGCAAGACCAAAGAGGGGGACCUUCGGGCCUCUUGCCAUCGGAUGUGCCCAGAUGGGAUUAGCUUGUUGGUGGGGUAACGGCUCACCAAGGCGACGAUCCCUAGCUGGUCUGAGAGGAUGACCAGCCACACUGGGACUGAGACACGGUCCAGACUCCUACGGGAGGCAGCAGUGGGGAAUAUUGCACAAUGGGCGCAAGCCUGAUGCAGCCAUGCCGCGUGUAUGAAGAAGGCCUUCGGGUUGUAAAGUACUUUCAGCGGGGAGGAAGGGAGUAAAGUUAAUACCUUUGCUCAUUGACGUUACCCGCAGAAGAAGCACCGGCUAACUCCGUG